AGGAGCUGAAGCUUGUGUGCAGCUUAACUUGUAUGAUGAAGCAAAGAUCUGGUGUCAGAAAGGACUAGCUAUAGACGAUAAUAGCAAAAGAUUGCGUCAUCUACUAAACAAGUGUGUUGGUGAGACAAUCGCAUCCGGAGAGAUAAAGCCACAGCAAGAAAAGGGAGAUUCGAAUCAGGAGGUAGAACGUACAACCAAAACAGCGAAAGAAAAGGCCGGAGAAGAAAGGAGUUGCUGCAAUAUUGGCAAUCCUUAUCAUAGUCUAGGACAGUUCGAAACAGCCAUCGAGUACCAUAAGCAUCAUCUGGAAAUUGCCAAAGAGGCGGGAGACAAGGCUGGAGAAGGAAACAGUUUUGGAAAUCUGGGAAAUGCUUAUCAUGGUCUAGGACAGUUCAAAACAGCCAUCGAGUACCACAAACGUUAUCUAGAGAUUUCCAAAGAGGUGGGAGACAAGGCUGGAGAAGGAAACAGUUAUGGAAACCUUGGCAAUGCUUAUCAUGAUCUAGGACAGUUCAAAACAGCUAUCGAGUACC